rnacentral:lncRNA from 1 species
GGUUCCUCUAAGUGACGACAGAUGGAAAAAGGAUUCACUCAUUCAUAGAAUUCCAAACCAGAAACUGACCGUUCAACAGGAUCAAGUUCAUGGAAUCAAAGGAUUUUUUUUUUUGCUGGAAAUAUUUGGUAAAAAUGAAAACUUGAUAUAUAGAUACUUCAGAAAAUGAAAAUAAGGGCUAGAGAAAUGACUCAGCAAUUGAGAGCCCUUACUGCUUUUUCAGAGGAUCUGAGUUUGGUUCCUUGUUUCCCCUUGCCAGGUGCUCACAAAUACCUGUAUCGAUAGCUCCAGGGUAUCCAACACCUUUGGCCUCCACAAGCAUCUGAACUCAUUUGUACACUCACACAAACACACACAUACACACUUAAAAACAAUAUUUUUUAAAAUAAUGAAAAAUAUCCACUGAUCAAAUUUUGGAAAUAUGUUAUAUAAUUUGUCACAUAAAAUGAAGGCAAUAAUCUAAUACGAUACUGUUGGCUUACUGCACUUAAAACUAGAACUCAAAGUAAAAUGCAAAGAGAUUAUAGAUUUUCUUAUUGUGUCACAUAGAAUCAAAUCAGCAAACUCUAAUUUCAGCAAGUUCUAUGUAUGGAAAAACAUGUACUACAAUAUAGCCAGUGUCAUGAUUGUAGCAUAUCAAAAUUGCUGUCAAUACACCAACAUGAUGACUAUUGAAAGAAAAAUAUGUGUCACUGCUCAUAAAAAUAAGCAUAAUUCAGUGAUAAAACCGUGCUAUAAUAAUGUAAAGCUGAUCGUAACAGCCAUGGUUCCUAAUAAAUGAUAUCUAAAAUCUUAAAUCUUAAUCAGUUUUUUGCAUAGUGGGCAGUAUAUCAGUUUUAUAAAAUGCUAAAUUUUCAUACAGUAUGAUCCUCCAACAUUGCUUGUCAAUGUUCUGAAUUCUUAAUACAUCAGAUACUGUUAACUUGUGAAAACUUGUUCUAAGCUGCUCUUUAGUAGUUAUUUUCAAGUGAUUCAGAGUUCAGCAUGAAAUUGUCUGGUACUCUAAUUCAUUUGGAAAGACUGGACUAUAUUUCAUUUGAUUACCCUUAUUAUUUUAGACUCUGCUUUAAUUUUUGCUGAUUAUUGUCUUACAAUUUGCUGAUAAUUGUCUCUUAUUAUGUUUAGUACAAUGCUAGAAAUAAUAUGCUUUUAAUGUACUAACACAUUUUCUAUAAUCUAGUAUUUGGUAAAAAAAAAAUGUAAAUGCUGCCUAGAUGCUGGCUAGGAAACUUAGUUCAAUUUUAAAUCUAAAAGCAUUUAAAAUUUUUUUUAUUUAUUUACUUUAUGUGCAUAGAUGCUUUGUUUGCAUGUGUGUCUGUGCAUUCUGUGAAGGCCAGAAGAGGGCACUGGUUUUGCUGGAACUAGAGUUACAGAAGAUUGUGACCCUCCAUGUGGGUGCUGUGACUCAACUCAGUCCUCUGGAAGAGCAUCUGGUGGUCUUAACAACUGAGCCAGCCCUCCAGCCCGAAAGGCACGAUAUACUUUUAAGCCAACUUUUAACUUUGUGUUAUUUAGAUUCUAGUGCUUCUGACUUGGAUCGGAAGCAGCAUAUCAGAGUAAUCUGGGGGAUAGAUGCCCAGUUCACCUCUCAUUCCAUAGAUUCCCAUUCUGAUACAGUGGUCCUCACGAGAUUCUAGCUUCUCCUAUUUUUGUUAAGAACAGUACUCCCCUUGCCCUGGACACAGUGAUGACUAUUAGCAGCUUCUAACUUA